UCAUGAAAAGUCAAAAAGAAAAUAAAUUAAAACUACUUCUAAACUACGAUGGUUUUUUGAAGGUGUCUAGGAUGACUUAAUUACAUUCAACCCUUAAUUUCUUAUUUAUAGAGGUGUUGGUUGCCCAAAUUAGGUCUUCGGCAAGUCUUAGAUCUUCGAAUAAGUUUGAUUGCAUGGACAAAAAUAUCCCUGAAGUACUUGGACAGCAUGUCAACCUUAUGUCAUGCCACGCCCCCUUGUCUCGUUCAUUUGGUGCUUUGACAUCCCGGGAAGCUUGUGUAUCACUCCACCUUUGCUUCCACGUCAAUUGGCCUUUAUAUAUCUAUCCUACACACUCAAUUAAACCAAUUAGCACAACCUAAGGCUUAUGUUGGCCUAUUGGGUUACAACACCUAUAAAAUGUGUUAAAAACACUUAUUUUUAUUAACUUUUAGUCCUAAGGUAUAAAUACUAAAAAUGUAAAUUACAAUCCUAAUUUGCUUAUUAAACAAGCUCUAUAUCGCUUUUGAAAAGUGUUUUCGAACUGUGCUUUUGCUUUCGGAGCCAAAUGACAUUUUUAAUACUUAUUUAUAAUCCAAUAUAAUUUAUGUAAUAUUUCUAUUAGGUAUACAAUUAUUUUCCUAUUGAAAUUUAUUUCAAACAUAUAAUAUUAUAUAUUUAAAUAUGUAAUGGUUAUAUUUUAAUAAUAUUUAAUACAUAGAUUAUAUCUUAAAAUUAAAUUUUAGAAAUAAUUAAUAUUAAUUAAUUAUAAAUAUUUAAAAUUUAUGUUUCAUAUAUCAAAAUAUUAAUAAUAAGUUACAAUAAAUUAUUUUUUGUAUUCUUGUUAAAAUAUCAUAAUAUUAACAAAUUUAAACAUUAUUUAAAAGCAUAUUUUUACUUCACAACAUCAUGUCUAAAAUAGAUAUUUUAUUUCUCAAAAAAUACUUUUUGAAAGCAAUACCAAACACUUAAAUCUUAAACUAAAUUUUUCAAAAGCAAUGAGAAACUAACCUUUACUCUCAUUAGUGGUUAAGUUUAAACUUUCCUUUCAAAAUGAAUAAUCAAGGUCAAUGCACACAAGAUGUAGAAUGACAACCUUUUCCAUUUCUUUAGUUGUCACCACUCAAAUAAGGAGCCUUAUUCUUUGUUAUCUACAUAGUUGGUUAAAGUGUAUAUAUAUCAAAAAGCAUGCUUAGUAAAUAAUUUUGAAGAACAAUCCAUAAAAAAAUUGAGUUUACUAAUGUAAAAUUGCAUGAUUAAUAGUAAAUAAGUUGGCAUAUAAUGACAUCAACCUGCUCACAAAAAUAUCACAUAGUAUGAUUUACUUUCCUUUAUUGAUGAAACUAGAAAUUAUUCAUAUUUCACGAUGCUUGUGGGCUAAUUAAGAAACAAAGUAAGCAUCUAUUUCAUUCUAAUUAACCAAUAAACUAGAAUCAUCCACUAUGGGUAAAAUGACUAUAUUAAUAUGAUUAACUACAAUUAUGUCAUUUAUCUCAUGAUCACAAGAUCUUUAGAAUAUCACUACUUAAUGCAUAUGCUUUUCAUAAUUUAGAUAUUGUGGCUAAUUCUAAAUUACUUAAGCAUGCAUGAUCAUAUAACACAAAACAUUGCAUAAUACUAUAAUUUAGCGAGUAAAUUCACACAAAACACCAACUUAUGCAUAAUGUGAAUAUAAAAAAAUCACACGAGCCUUAAAAUGUUUGAAAACACCAUACAUGUUCUCUCAUGACUAUAAAAAAUCUUGCAUGAACCUUUACACAUCAAAAUGAGGCCUAUAUGCACCUUCAUAUGCCGCCAACCUCCUUCACACACUUUUACAGGUCAAUCAAACUUUGACCAAUUAUAUGUCAAUGUUUAACUAUUAAAUUUGACUUUGAUUGGUUUGAUUUUCCUCUUAACCUAGUUUGAUUAGUUUGAUCAUUGAUCUUAGAUGAUUCAAGCUAACUUGAUUCUUCAAACUUGAUCAAUUUGGUUUACUAUGCUUUCUUGAUGGGUUGGCUUUAUUGGGAUUUAUGGAUUAGGUUUUCUUAUUGGUGUUAUGCACCCUUUAUUAAAUGGAUAAUGGGCUAAUUCUUCAUGGGUUGGAUUAGAGUGUCUCAAAAUAAUGGAUGCUUUAUUAGAUUUUCCAUUUGGGUGGAAAAUAAGUUAGGUGAUGAGUUGUAGUUUGAUAUAUGUAAAUAUGAUUAUUUCAUGCUCACUUUAGUGUGUUUUCAAGUAGAAUCGAGCCUUUUAAGUACUUAAUACUUUUUGUAUUGAAUUUAGGUUUUGUUGUGUUCUUAUGUUUAAUAUAGUGUUUUUAAUGUUGUUUUGGUUUUAAGAAGAAAAUGGUGAUUGAUAAGUGUUAAAUUGUUAUGUAGGUGAACCAAGAUACCGAAUGGACUCAAGUGGCUGAACAGAGGACAACGUCGAGAUGAAGGGAUUUUUGAGGUCAUGACAUUGUGCAAAGUGAGCAUGGUAGAAGGAUUCGACAGUGAGUCAUGUCGCGACGUGGGAUAACUUAAUGCUGCGACGUGCCUACGCUGAGGUCAAGACGUUGACAAGAACCUACGAGAAAUUGUUUGUCAACGUCACGACGCUGCGAUAGAGGAAAUUGCAACAUUGCCCUAUAGACUUAGAUGUGGAGAUGAUUAUCAAAGUAAUUUUGGGGUCAUUUUGAAUUUUUAGUCUUUGUAAAGUGACUUUUUACUAAGGGUAAAAGGGUUCUUUGGUUCAUUACUAUAUAAACUUUUUUUCUAUAAGAUUUUUAAUAUAUAAAGAGAACUAGAGUAUAUGAGAUUUGUAAAGAGUGUUUUAAAAUGUUUUUAGAUUUCUUUGUAGAGAUUUAAUAGAGAGUUAGUUUGUCAUAGCUUUGUAUUCUUUCUUAUUGAUGGUAAUGUAAAUGGAGCUCAAGUAAGUUUCAGCUGUGGAAUUGGAGUCUUUUCCAUUAAUGAGCAUUCCUAACUCUUUUUUUUAUUCAUUUUUUUUAUCAAUUGAAUGUUAAAAUGGUUACUUAUACUUUGAACUUCAUGUUUUUCUAAAUUCUCUUAAUGGCUACUUAUGAUGCUAGUUGCUAAUCGAGGUUGAUAAGCAUGUUCUUGAUUAUUUGAUUGUUCAAUUGUGCCAAAUUGCUUAGUAAACUAGAAUUGAUACUUCUAGUGGAAAACCUAGAAAGAUGGGAUUGAGAGGAGAUUUUAUCAUGUAGAAUUUUGAUAUAAUUGUGAUGAAUAGCGGGACAAAAAGUGUAACCUAUGAACUAGGUGAGUCUGAGAGGAGAUCCUAGGUGGUAAUUCUAAUGUUAAAAUGAGACUAAGAGGAAUUUCUACUUAGAGUGACAAACAAUGUAAUUGGGGUAUGUACAUUAGCUUCGUAAAUAGCUAGUUUACCAAUUGAUCAUCACUUUGAUUAUUUUCAUAGUCUAAGAUAAGAAAGAGGUAAGGUAGGUUAGUAUGCUUAAUUCACAAGAUAGGUUAGUUCUUUUAUGAUUUCCAAUCGAUUUGCAUUAAUAAUCUUUGAAUCGAGUAGACUAGUAGUUACCUUGUGAGUAGGAUAAUCGAUUAGCACAUCCCCUUAUAAAUCCUUGUGAGUAGGAUAAUCCUUAUCAAUUCUUAACACUACUUACUUAAGUGUUCCAUUGUAACUACUAUAUUAGAAUUUGGCACAAUCAUGCUUGCGAUAAUGCCAUGUCUACACUAGUGAUAUUAUUGAUUUUAUUUGGUACGUUUUUUUACUAAGUGUGCUAAGGUGGAUGAUUAAGAAAACUUAAAUUUUGACUUUUCUUUUUUCUAAACAAUAUAAAUUUCUAGAAUAUCAAACAUUGAAAUGAUUGAAUUUUUCCUGUAAUGGUAGAAAAAGCCCAAUACUACAAAAAGAAGAAGAAGAAGAAGAAGAAGAAGAUAUCAUCAAAUCUCACAAUAACCAUCAUAAAACAAAACUAAUAGACAAAUUUUAGCAUGAAAUUUCUAAAUUCUCAAAGAAAUUAUAAGCCUUAAGCAUGUUUCAAUUUUAAAAAUAAAAAUUGCAUAAUGCAUAAUCCACAAAAAUUUAAAGGUAUAAUGGUAAAUUUGACCCUCAACCUUUUAAAAAUAGUCGAAUUUAACCAUCAACCUUUUAAAAAGAGUCUAAUUUCUAUAUUUUUUAAUGAAAAUACUAACUAAAAUAUUAAAUUUUUAAACAUGACAACCUGCAUGGCAAUCAACGUGUGCUUUAUGCUACUUUUUUUAAUUAUGAUUUUUUUGAAUUUUGAAUUUAGUUAUUUUUUGAAUAUUUUAUAAUUUUUAAAUCAUGUAAUGGCCAAUUUUUGGCCCAGACAAAUAAAACAAUAACAAAACCCAAAACAAUAAAAAAGAGCCCAAAUAACAACCCACUAAUCUUAAGAAUUUUUAGCAGCCAACCCUAGCCCCAAGCCUCCAGCCGCCGCUCCCCACGUGCUCGGGCAACAUGUUCAACGCUCGGCCACCACACCCCGCGCAUGCCCUCCUCCUCAAUGCACCUGACACUCCCAUAACCUACAAACAUUUGGAAAAGAGGAAAAGAUGGCAAGAAGAAGCACAAGCAGUAGCAGAGAAUAAAACAAACAAUAUUUUAAUAUGGGAAUCGGCUAUAAAGCCGAAAUGAAACUGAUUUUAAAUGGGGAUUUCGAUAUUCAAAAAUUGUAUUACGCAUGUUAAGCAAUCAAAAACAAAAAACAAGCAAAAAGGUUGAGAUUAAUCUCCUGUUUCGUUUUCUAUUGUUUUCUAGUUUCUGUUAUUUCAUUUAUAUUUAUUAUUAUUAUUUCUUAUUUUCUUUUACAAAUCUAUUAAACAAAACGAAUAAAAAGAAAAAGGAAGAGAAGAAAGCCUCACCGGAAACGCCUGUGGCUUCACCGUCGGAGAUUUCUCCUCCAUCGUCGGGGCUGAAAAGGGGUGGGGGAUCCUUUCUUUCGUUUCUUUUCGAUUAAAAGGGCUAGGCUCAUGAACUUCUUUUGGAACGCGACCUUUCGGAUUCACCUGGAAUGGGGCUAAAAAGUCCUUUUCGCGCAACGCCGGCCAUUGGCCCAAUGGCGGCGCGAUGGACUGCUGAGAGUUCCUUCAGCCGAAUAGAGAAAAGGGGGGGAAGAAGGAGUUUGUGAUUUUUUUUGUCAAUUAAAAGAUGAACCGACAGAAUGAAAAGGAAAUAAUUUUUUUUUGUUUUAAA
rnacentral:lncRNA from 1 species